UCAGGUGCGGCGUCUAACACAGUGAUUUCAGUUUCAUUUGAAUUAUCUAAUAUAUUCUCAAAUUUGUUUGCCGCUAUGAAGUGUUUAAUAUAUCUCGCUAUAAUUGCGGUUGCUUCUGCUAUGCCUCAGCAAAUAGGCUUCCAAUAUCUGGAUGAAGCAAUCAGACAAGCACAAAGUGAACAGAAAUUCGAAUCAGACGCGGUUGUUAUUGAUAUGAAACCUAGCAUCGAGGUAUAUGCUCGUGAAAAUAUUCCCGCUUCUGAACGGAUUUCGCUACAAGAAAUAUUGGCACAACAUUUACCCAGUGAAACAAUAGCCGAUUUGCAAGGACGCAUCGAUAGAAUUGCUCGUAAAUAAUAAAUGCAAAUAAAAAUCUUUCAAGGUCGUUCGGAGAUGAGACAAGUGAAUGCAUAAUUUAAGAUAAUUUUAGAUAAUAUAAUUGCAACGUAUUGCGAUUGUUAUUUUUGAUUUUAAAAUAUUGCAUUGGUGAAGUGUGAAUUAUGAGCUUCGUAUAAGUAUUAUAUGCCAUGAAAAGAUGUAACUGAAGUGUGGAAUAAAAAAGAUUUCGUUUUAUACAUUUUA